rnacentral:lncRNA from 1 species
AUUUCCUUGUAUACUUUAAAAGUAUGAUUAUAUUAUAUAAACAUAUUACAACUAUUCUCAUUUUCUUUAACCAGAUAGAAGUUAAUGAUUAGAGAAAUCCACAUCUCUACUUAAAAAGUUUUAAAAUACUAUGAGAGGAUAUUGAUGUAGAGAAAAUUUUCAUGGAAAAUGUAUGACAUAAUAAUUACACAGUAAUAAAAAUAUAGGAGCAUAAAGACAAAAGAAGUACUGAGAUUUUAAUUCUGUGAUUACACAAUUGUGUUUUUACAAGGAGCUAAAACUGUUUGGCUUCAAUAGUGUAACUUCCCAAAAGUCACUUUGUUGUGAUGUCCCCAAAUUCCAGAGCUUUCUCUUUGCCCUCACCCAAUCCGACUCACUGGCUCAUCUUUGGCUUUUGUGUGGUGUCUUCACUGAGUAAAGCCACGACAGAGGAAUGGAACCACAGUCUCCUCCUGAGUCCACAUCGUCCCCAGUGCAAACACGUGUUGCAAAGGAUUUCAGUUUUACUAUUGCAGUCAGUAGAGAAACCAACUGGGGAUAAGUUUGAAGGACGUGCUGCUGAUCUUAGAUGCCUUCUUGAAGUCAACCACAUAAGCAGU